rnacentral:rRNA from 2 species
GGACUACCCGGGUUUCUAAUCCUGUUUGAUCCCCACGCUUUCGUGCAUCAGCGUCAAUAUAUGCGUAGCCUGCUGCCUUCGCAAUAGGUGUUCUAUGUCAUCUCUAUGCAUUUCACCGCUACAUGACAUAUUCCGCAAGCCUCCACAAUAUUCAAGAUAAAUAGUAUCAAUGGCAGUUUUCGGGUUAAGCCCAAAGAUUUCACCACUGACUUAAUUACCCGCCUACGCACCCUUUAAACCCAGUGAAUCCGGAUAACGCUUGCACCCUCCGUAUUACCGCGGCUGCUGGCAC